ensembl:lncRNA
AGAAUGGGACCUGAACUCUUCCUUUUUCCAGACACCACCCAUCUCCUUCCUUUUGCAACUGUGGUUUGUUUUUGAAAGUGACGCCAAGCUGGACCCUAUGGGGCUCCCAGAACUUACACAAAUUGGGCCUGAGAGGCGUGAGGAGCAGCAGACGCGAGGAUGCACGACCCGGGUUGUCCUUCAUGGUGGAAGGUCUUCUGCCGCUUGCUGCUGAGAAGGGGCUGGCUUCUAGCCCCCACUUAUCAGCCCUCUCCAGGAAUUCCCCUCAAGUGAAAGGAGAACUUCACCCAAAGUCACACCCUCCACCCUGGGGAUAGCAUGCAUCCAAUGACUGGCUGAAGCUGGAAUAUAAAGGCCUGGGCCCCUCACCCCAACUCAGGACAACUCAAAAAGCCAUCCCAGGACUCCCCUGGAAGUCCAGUGGUUAA